rnacentral:sRNA from 1 species
GGACAGUCCAAGAGUGAUAAGGCCGCAGCCUUGGGGACAAAAAUUAUUGAUGAAGAUGGCCUGUUGAAUCUGAUUCGAACUAUGCCAGGCAAGAAAUCCAAGUACGAAAUAGCAGUUGAAACUGAGAUGAAGAAACAGUCCAAACUGGAGAGAACACCCCAAAAAAAUGUCCAAGGAAAAAGAAAAAUUAGUCCAUCUAAAAAGGAAUCAGAAUCUAAAAAGAGCAAGCCGACUUCCAAAAGGGACAGUUUGGCAAAGACAAUAAAAAAGGAAACAGAUGUGUUUUGGAGAAGCCUGGAUUUCAAAGAGCAGGUGGCCGAGGAGACAAGUGGUGAUAGCAAGGCUAGGAAUUUGGCUGAUGACAGCAGUGAAAACAAAGUGGAAAAUUUGCUCUGGGUGGAUAAAUAUAAGCCAACCUCACUCAAGACCAUAAUUGGACAGCAAGGUGACCAGAGCUGUGCCAACAAACUCCUACGCUGGCUCCGAAACUGGCAAAAGAGUUCUUCCGAAGAUAAAAAACACGGUGCUGAGAUUACAGGUGUGAGCCACUGCACCCAGCCAAGAAGACUGUUUUAAAGCUUCAGGUGAACUCUAGUCCCUGUCUCCAUGCCUGCUGGCACAGCAAAGUUUGGUAAAUUUUCCGGCAAAGAUGAUGGCUCUAGUUUUAAAGCAGCGUUGCUGUCAGGCCCU